GCUAACUACGUGCCAGCAGCCGCGGUAAUACGUAGGGUGCAAGCGUUAAUCGGAAUUACUGGGCGUAAAGGGUGCGCAGGCGGUUCGGAAAGAAGGAUGUGAAAUCCCAGGGCUCAACCUUGGAAUGGCAUUCUUAACUACCGGGCUAGAGUGUGUCAGAGGGGGGUGGAAUUCCGCGUGUAGCAGUGAAAUGCGUAGAGAUGCGGAGGAACACCGAUGGCGAAGGCAGCCCCCUGGGAUAACACUGACGCUCAGGCACGAAAGCGUGGGUAGCAAACAGGAUUAGAUACCCUUGUAGUC
rnacentral:rRNA from 1 species